rnacentral:sRNA from 1 species
AUUGAGCUGCGACCCUUGUUCAACGCCGUUGGCGAAGCCAGGCUGUCCUAGGAAGCCGAGUGGGAGUGGCACGGAGCUGCUGGAGGUGCUGAGAACCUGAGUUUCGGCAAGCAGCCAGAAUAUUUUAAAAAUGACUACACCAAACAAGACACCUCCUGGUGCUGACCCCAAGCAGUUGGAAAGGACUGGAACAGUACGGGAAAUUGGGUCACAAGCUGUUUGGUCACUCUCAUCUUGCAAACCAGGAUUUGGAGUGGAUCAGUUACGAGAUGACAAUCUAGAAACUUAUUGGCAAUCAGAUGGUUCCCAGCCUCAUUUAGUGAACAUCCAAUUCAGAAGAAAAACAACAGUGAAGACAUUAUGUAUUUAUGCAGACUACAAAUCUGAUGAAAGCUAUACUCCAAGCAAGAUCUCAGUCAGAGUAGGAAAUAAUUUUCACAACCUUCAAGAAAUUCGGAAGUGAAGAAUCAAGUGAGAAUGGAGGAGGUGAAGCUCUUAUCACUAAA